rnacentral:rRNA from 1 species
GAUUGUUCACCCACCAAUAGGGAACGUGAGCUGGGUUUAGACUGUCGUGAGACAGGUUAGUUUUACCCUAUUGAUGACAGUGUUGCAAUAGAAAUUCAACCUAGUACGAGAGGAACCGUUGAUUCGCACAAUUGGUCAUCGCGCUUGGUUGAAAAGCCAGGGGCGUGAAGCUACCGUGAGCUGGAUUAUGACUGAACGCCUCUAAGUCAGAAUCCGGGCUAGAUGCGACACAUGUGGCCGCUGCCUGCUUUUCGACCCGUAGUAGGGGACAUCCGGCCCCCAAAGGCACGUGUCGUUGGUAAAGCCCGCGCGGCAGAUGAGCCGCGCGGGCCGCCUUGAAGUACAAUUCCUAUCUCGAGCGGCGGGUAGAAUCCUUUGCAGAUGACUUAAAUACAAUAUGAGGUAUUGUAAGUGGCAGAGUGGCCUUGCUACCACGAUCCACUGAGAU